UACGGAGGAUGCGAGCGUUAUCCGGAUUUAUUGGGUUUGAAAGGGUGCGUAGGCGGACUGUCAAGUCAGCGGUAAAAUACGGGGGCUCAACCUCCGCCCGCCGUUGAAACUGACGGUCUUGAGUGGGCGAGAAGUAUGCGGAAUGCGUGGUGUAGCGGUGAAAUGCAUAGAUAUCACGCAGAACUACCGAUUGCGAAGGCAGCGUACCGGCGCCCGACUGACGCUGAGGCACGAAAGCGUGGGGAUCGAACAGGG
rnacentral:rRNA from 1 species